CAGCUCAACUGUCACUGAAGUAUAAGCACAUACCAAAUUAUCUUCCAAUAUAAAAGGCCUCAGAAGAUCCACUUUUCCAAAACUCACUUUGAAAACGUUCUUCAAGGAAAUUAGAAGAUAAAUAAAUCCAGGAGGAUGUUGAUAGGAACUAUGGGUAUAAAAAACUUUAGAUCAAAUAGAUUUUAGUAGUCUAUUGUUAUCUAAAAAAGCCAGGAGCAGCCAGGACCAAAGUGAGGAGAGAAGAUGAAGUACAUUUACAACAAUGCAAAAGUAAAUAUUUAAACAGAAUCAACAUGGGAGUCCAAAGAUUUAAUAUUAAUCUGCUCAGGAAAUCAAUACGAUUAGCUAUGUAUUGAUGUGGAUCUUAAACUAAAGGUAACCACCAUUAAAAUCGAUAGGAGAAACUUAGGGAAAAAGAAAUGAAUGUAAAAGCCAAUUAUGAAUGAAGGAGGCAGAAAUAAAGUCCUGCUGCAACCAGACACAAUCAACUUAAUGAGCUAAAACACCAAUACGAAGCUUGGAUUUAUAAAGAAAGAAUCAACAGUUUUCCAAGAGAAGCAU
rnacentral:lncRNA from 1 species